UGAGCCCUGACAGGGCACUUCAGAACACUUUCAAAGACAAGCAUAGAUUUGCAGCAUUGCAGGUUUUGGUCAGUGGACUCUGUCUAGCCCACUGUUAAAUGUUCCUGGCUCUGGCUCUGAUAUAGAUUGUUGUGAGAGUCUCAAGGAAGUCUCAGUCCUGAGCGUACGAAUACAGUCUUGCUCAUUAGUGGCCCAUCAGUAUCCUGUGCUUGUUUCUGUUUGAUACCACGUUGAGCCUAGGAUGCUGCGCCCCUGUUCUAUGGCUGUUCAUGUUGCUAGAAUUCUCUCUGGGAGCAGGUGUAGCAUGGAAGGAGGGGCAGAUGGUUAGAGAACCUGGAGAAUGGAGAGGGGCUGGAUUGGAUGUGGCUCACUUGUCAUGGAAACCCAAGCCAUCAUCUUCACUGUAGCCAUUUGCUGUGGGUAUUGAGGAAGACUCUUGGAUGGUGCAGAGGCUAUGCUAACAGUGGACAUGGUGGCCUGCUGCUGCUGCUAAGUUUGUUGCUCUGGCAGAGUAUUCCUUAAUGCUGGAGAAGUGUUCUACAUGGGAUGGUAGAAUAGGGCAGAGAAAUGGGCUCAGCAGUUCACACCCACGUCUGCAGCGUAGAGUUUACUGUCCUAGGCAGACAUUAUCUUCACGUGUUUUAUGGGGCUGAGAAACUCCACGGAGCUUAACUUUCAAGAAGAGUGCACUGCAGACCUGGAAUGGGAACUGUUGCCGUCUGCAGUUUCUGUUUCUAAUGUAGAAGUUAUGCUUACCCCAGUGUGUGCCUUAGGCUGCUUCCUUCUCUCUCUUCCCACCUCUCUCCCUACCCCAACAGGGUUUCUCUGGAUAGCCCAGGCUGUACUGGAACUAGCUCUGUAGACCAGGCCGACAGCCUCUGCCUCCAGCCUGCUAGGAUUAAGGCAUUGAGUGGCUUUCUUAAAGUCAUCUCUGUGCUUUUGUUCCAGUGGAUAGCCUUUGAAGGGCUUCCAGGAAUUCAGUGGAUUAGUCCAUUCUUGUCAUUGUCCCCUUUGUAGGCCAUGUCUUUAUCAUUGUUAUGUUUUCCUUUUAGUGUAAGUAAGCCAAACAGUUGUCACUAGACGGCAGAGUGAAAGUCUCUGUCAGGUCUCCUGCUAAGUACUUCCACACUGUCCUUCUUUAACCCUUCUGUGUAUUUAUUUAUUUUUUGGCAUAGUUAUAUUUACCAAGUAUGUGGUCUGUCUGGAUCAGUGUUGGUUUGGGGUAGCCCAUGCCGUCCUCACGGCCUUCAGGGAAGAAAGCUGAUGUCAUCCUUACCUUGCAGAUGAGGGGACUGAGCGAGCAAGGUUAAUCAGCUGCUCCACUUCACACUCGUGCUGCACAGUAGAGCAGGGGCUGGCCGGGUCCGCAGCCUUGGUCUUAAGUCGGUGUACAUUUGUGAUUCUAAGAAACGGAGCAAUACUCAGCACCAGGAGUUCACUUGAGUAUUUAAAGAGUUGAUAAAAUCAAAGAAGGUUCCUUUUGACUUCUGAACGUUAGUUUUGUGGAAAGUCUUUUGUGACGUUCAGCAUUUGGAAGGUUGGCUGUGGGUCUGGAGAUGGGUCAGUGGCUAAGGGUGUGCACUGCUCAUGCAGAUGGCAGCUUGAUUCCCAGCACCCACAUCAGGCAGCUGCAGAGCUGGUGGCUCCAGCCCCACAGCAUCUGUCACCCUGGCCUUGCAGGCACCCACACUCAGGUAAGCAUGUGC
rnacentral:lncRNA from 1 species